CGGCUGCUUUGUUGAGCCG
rnacentral:sRNA from 1 species